rnacentral:lncRNA from 1 species
AAGCCCCCAGGGCUUAGCUCAGUUGGUUCAACGGGUGGUAGAUUGCACCCAAGAGCGCAGGUUCGAGUCGUGGCAGCCGCAGUGUGGGAAAUUCACCCAUGAAAGAUUGGGUGGGCUUCCUUGUGGGCACUACGCACUGGGCCUCCCAUCCGUUGGGCUGCUGGGUACCUGAUUUACAGUCAAACCUAUCUGUGGGGCCGGGUGGUUUGGCCCGGUUAAGGUGUCCGGACGAUACACCUUUUUGCACCCAAGAAA